CCAAAUCCAUUUCCACUCCACCCAACAAAAACCAGAGCAAGCUGAAUCGAAAGAAUUCCACUUCCGAUGCAGAACAACAAUUCUCCCAAUCUCCGAUCGACGCCGAAUCACAUCCGCUUCGAUUCUCCGUCGAUGUCUUCCUCUCGUCUCUCGCAGCAGGAGGAGCUCGACAUCAUGGUGGCUGGGCUGCGCCACAUAGAGUCCCGCACCAGCACUCCGCCACGUAGUCUCCGGCACCACCACAACAACCGCGGUCUCUCCCAAUACAACACCGUUUCACUUUCAGAUUCCUCAGCCUGCAAUUCUGGACACGUGUACGGUGUGCGGGAACCAGGGGUGUUUGGGGUGCGACAUUUUCCCGCCAAAUCAAGAGGAUCAAAAUUCGAACAAGAAGAACACCACCAAGUCCAAAUCGACGACGACGGCGGUGAGGAAGAGAGGGAAGAAGAACUAUAGAGGAGUGAGGCAGAGGCCAUGGGGGAAAUGGGCGUCGGAGAUUCGAGAUCCACGCCGGGCGACCAGGGUUUGGCUAGGAACUUUCGAGACGGCUGAGGAGGCGGCGAGGGCUUACGAUAAGGCGGCGAUCGAGUUCCGAGGGCCGAGAGCCAAGCUCAAUUUCCCUUUCCCGGAUCAAGCUCAGCUCCAGCAGUCGGAAUCGGAGAAGAAGGAGAAGGUGAAGAUUGAGGAGGAACAGAGGAAUGGAAAAACUGGGGGGAGCAAUGAAUUGGGGGAUCAGGAGGAUUUUGAAGAGUGGAUGAUGAUGCUGAUGGACUUCUCCGGUGGCGACUCGUCGGAUUCUGCUGGUACGACGGGAACCGUUUGUACUUCCUCCGGGAAUUUGUGCUUCUAGACAAAAAAAAAAAUACCUGGCCAGAAACAGGGGAGCAAAAAAAAAAAAGAAGCUUCUGAUUCUUUUUUUCGUAGGUUUUUAUUUUUUAUCAGGAGAAAAGAAUCGGAAUUGUAAAAUAUUUGUAUCUUAUUUUCUGUGACAUCGGUUUAAUCGUAUGCGAAAAUUAUAACAGUAUAGUAGCUUGGUUAUGAUUAAAUGAAUUUCGCAUCGUAAACUCUAUAAUCACGAAUUUCAUGCUCGCUAUAUCGAGUUAAACUUCAACGUUACAACCUUUACGGAUGAACGAAAACGAAUCGGAAUGAAAAUUGAAC
rnacentral:lncRNA from 1 species